rnacentral:rRNA from 1 species
UACUCCUACGGGAGGCAGCAGCUAAGAAUAUUCCGCAAUGGACGGAAGUCUGACGGAGCGACGCCGCGUGGAUGAAGAAGGCCGAAAGGUUGUAAAGUUCUUUUGCUAGGGGAGAAUAAGUGAGGGAGGGAAUGCCCUCAUGAUGACAAGGACUAGCGAAUAAGCCCCGGCCAACUACGUGCCAGCAGCCGCGGUAACACGUAGGGGGCGAGCGUUGUUCGGAAUUACUGGGCGUAAAGGGCAUGUAGGCGGCUUGGUAAGCCUGGCGUGAAAGACUGCAGCUUAACUGUAGGGAUGCGUUGGGAACUGCUUAGCUUGGGUUACGGAGAGGGAGCUGGAAUUCCUGGUGUAGGGGUGAAGUCUGUAGAUAUUAGGAGGAACACCAGUGGCGAAGACGGCUUUCUGGACUGUAACUGACACUGAGGCACGAAAGCGUGGGGAGCAAACAGGAUUAGAUACCCUGGUAGUCA